rnacentral:rRNA from 1 species
CGCAAGCCUGAUCCAGCCAUGCCGCGUGAGUGAUGAAGGCCCUAGGGUUGUAAAGCUCUUUCACCGGUGAAGAUAAUGACGGUAACCGGAGAAGAAGCCCCGGCUAACUUCGUGCCAGCAGCCGCGGUAAUACGAAGGGGGCUAGCGUUGUUCGGAAUUACUGGGCGUAAAGCGCACGUAGGCGGAUCGUUAAGUGAGGGGUGAAAUCCCAGGGCUCAACCCUGGAACUGCCUCUCAUACUGGCGAUCUUGAGUUCGAGAGAGGUGAGUGGAAUUCCGAGUGUAGAGGUGAAAUUCGUAGAUAUUCGGAGGAACACCAGUGGCGAAGGCGGCUCACUGGCUCGAUACUGACGCUGAGGUGCGAAAGCGUGGGGAGCA